UUUUUGGUAGAGACGGGGUCUCCCUAUGUUACCUAGGCUGAUCUCUAACUCCUAGGCUCAAAGGAUCCACCUGCCUUGGCCUCCCAAAGUGCUGGGAUUACAGGUGUGAGCCAUUGCACUCAGCAUCAUUUAGGGGUUUUUGCCAUGCAGAACUUUAAAACAUGAAACCAAAGUUAUCAAACUUUUCUCUUUGUUUUUGGAAAUUUUCACUCACAUAUGGUAAAGGAAUUCACCCAUGUUUUCUUCUAGUAUUUGUACAGUUUUGUUUUUAACCCAUUCAGAAUUUAUACUGGUAUAUACUAUACAGAAUAAAUCCAUUUUUAUCUUUUUCAUAUGCCUAUCCAUUUGUGCCAACACUGCUUAUUUAAAAGUCUAUUUUUCCCCACUGAUUUCAGAUGCUGCUUUUAUCAUGGUCUAAAUUUCCAUGUGCAGUUAGGUUUAUUUCUGGAUAUUCUAUUCGGUUCCAUCAGUUGUCUGUUCAUUCACUUGCCAAUACAAUUUUCUUCUAAUUAUAAAGACUUUGUAAUAUGUUUUAACAUCUGGUUUAAGAUCAAGCCUCCCUCUCAUUGUUUUCCUUUUUUAGAGUUCUCCAGGCUAUUUCUGUUUAGUUGCUUUUCCAAAUGAAAUAUAUAAUCAAUUUGUUUAGCUUCAAAAAAAAAGCUGAUAAUAUUUGUAUUAUCACAAUAGAUAUCUUUAUAAUACUGAGUCUUCCUAUCUAAACUUAUGGCCUACAAUCUGUUCAUAUCUACUUUUGUGUCUUUCAGGAGUGUUUUAUUCAUGUAUGUUUUGGUCAUUUCUUAUUAUUUAUGCCUAGGUACUUUUGUUGGUUUUGCUGCAAUUAUAAAAGGAGUCUUUAAAUCUUCCAACCAGUUGUUAUUUUUAUAUAUGGAAGCUAUUCCUGGCUGGGCGUGGUGGCUCACACCUGUAAUGGCAGAACUCGGAGAGGCCAAGGCAGGAUCGCUUGAGGUCAGGAAUUCAAGACCAGCCUGGGCAAGACUCUAUCUCUAUUUUAAUUUUUUUAACCUAUGGCUUUCUAUAUAUUGAUUUUAUAACUUGCACUUUACUGAAUUCUAUUAAGUGUUUGGCAGUUUUUCCAAUUUUUUUUUUUUUUUUUUUUUUUUUUUUUUUUUUAGUUUUCCUAUAUAUAAUAAAUAAUCUGUAAACAGAAAUAAUUUUAUCUCUUUGUCUCUAAUUCAUAUGCCUCUCUCUACUGGCACUGGAUGAUAAUUUCAAACUGGUUUUAAAGAGUAAUGAUGAUAUUGUCCAUCCUUGUCUUAUGCCUGAAUUUGGCAGGUGUUUCUCGAUUAAGUAAGAUGCUGACUUUAGGGAUGAGAUGCAUAUAAUUUUCAGAUGCAUUUUUAGUUCCCAAUAAAUCUGUCACUCCUCCUAUUGAGGCUGAGAUGGUACUUCAGGAUAAAGCAAAAAUCACCAAGAAUAGUUGCUUUUCGAAUGUUAAUGUAC
rnacentral:lncRNA from 1 species